rnacentral:tRNA from 1 species
AUAAAAAAGAGGAAAAAAGCAUUUUAACCGACUCCUAAGCGGUAUGUCGCGCGUUCGACUCACGCUCGGGGCACCA